UACGUAGGGGGCGAGCGUUGUUCGGAAUUACUGGGCGUAAAGGGCGUGUAGGCGGUGCGGUAAGUCGGGCGUGAAAUCCCCGGGCUUAACCCGGGGCGGUCGUUCGAAACUGCCGUGCUAGAGUGCAGGAGAGGGAAGUGGAAGUUCCCGGUGUGAGCGGUGAAAUGCGUAGAUAUCGGGAGGAACACCUGCGGCGAAGGCGGCUCUCUGGGACGUGACUGACGCUGAGACGCGAAAGCGUGGGGAGCGAACAGG
rnacentral:rRNA from 1 species